AGUGAUGAAGGCCUUAGGGUUGUAAAGCUCUUUCAGCGGGGAAGAUAAUGACGGUACCCGCAGAAGAAGCCCCGGCUAACUUCGUGCCAGCAGCCGCGGUAAUACGAAGGGGGCUAGCGUUGUUCGGAAUUACUGGGCGUAAAGCGCACGUAGGCGGACAUUUAAGUCAGGGGUGAAAUCCCGGGGCUCAACCUCGGAACUGCCUUUGAUACUGGGUGUCUUGAGUAUGGAAGAGGUAAGUGGAAUUGCGAGUGUAGAGGUGAAAUUCGUAGAUAUUCGCAGGAACACCAGUGGCGAAGGCGGCUUACUGGUCCAUUACUGACGCUGAGGUGCGAAAGCGUGGGGAGCAAACAGGAUUAGAUACCCAGGUAGUCCACGCCGUAAACGAUGAAUGUUAGCCGUCGGCCAGUUUACUGGUCGGUGGCGCAGCUAACGCAUUAAACAUUCCGCCUGGGGAGUACGGUCGCAAGAUUA
rnacentral:rRNA from 1 species